rnacentral:lncRNA from 1 species
CAAGCAUCAAGAAAAUUUAUUUUUUAAUUUCAGGACCAAAUCAUAUUGUUGUCAGAAUGUUCAUUUUUCUUUGGGGGCAUUUCAGGUUGCCUGUCUUAGCAGGGAACAGACCCUGGCUAAAUUCUUGCAGCGGCAAUUUUCUUAUUUUCUCGGAUAUACAUAAUAACUGCAGUGCUGAAUGAUACCAUGAAAAGAAUCAUGCGGACUAAGACAAAAAUCAAAAUUGCAAAAAGGACAUAAUCAACUUCAUCAUUAUCAGUAGGUCCACUGUCUAAGCUUCCACCAUAACCCAAGAGAGUACAAAAUGGUGGGGCCCAGCCAAAUUGGCAAUGACAAUUCCUAUUGUUAUUGCAAACACCUCUGUAAUUACACUUCGCAGGAGUGCAAUCGAAAUGCAACUGAGCUAUAGGAACACACAUAUGAUUUAAGCACAUUGUAGUUUUGCUACACUUUGACCCAUCCCACACCAUUCCAAAAUCUAGCCACCCUGUUCCAAAGUGAUGUUCUAUCCCAAAACAGAAAAUUUCCCUUUUGUUCUUCCUUACUGACAUUUGGUGAACUGUAAUGUGUUCAUCUAAUUUUGGCACUAUCUUCAAACCUUCACAUUGCAGCCUUCCACACAAGACAGCUGACUGUCGACAUGGCACAGUGAUAUAUUUUAUUUGUGUCCCCUCCUCUUUCACUUCCAUUCCAUUAGAAUUAUUUUUCCUUUCAGGCUCCAUUCCACAGUUUCCAAAUCUAUCACCUUUUAUGUUCAAUUGUUCAUAGCAUGCAUCAUUAGCAUUUAUAACUCCAUUGUGACCAAACACUUGUCUGCAUUGUAAGUGUCGGUCAGUACAAUUCCCUUUAAAGCAAAUGGCAUUUGAAGUGCAUGGUGUUCCAUCUUGAACAUAAGUAUCCAAAGGGCAGAGAUGUAUGGUUCCAUUGCAAAACUCUGGAAGAUCACAAGUGCUCACUGCUCUUCUGCAAGCUAGCCCCAUAGGACUAAAGUGACAAUCUUCACAGCAUGGUCCAUAACCACAUGAAGAACCAGGUGUCCGUUCACAUCUCAAGUCACAACAUGGAUCAGCCAAACAUUCUUUAAUUGAACCACAGUCACACUGUUCUGUAUAGUCUAUUUUCUUAUUACCACAAAGAUGAAAUGAAUAAGCAUAAUUAUCAUAAGCAUUUGGAAGUCUAUUUAAACAUUGAUCCCAGUAAUUAACUAAAUUAAAAAAACGUCCAUAACUGCAAUUACUGAGAGAAUCAGAAAAAAGUGGAUGAUCUUCCAUAAGACAAUGUGACCUUCGAAUACAAUGGCAGUAUAUCUGAUCAUGAGGUAGGCCAAAGUUGUGACCUAUAUAAUGUGCCAAGAUUACUGAAUAAUAAAAUACCCUAUCAUCCUGAAGCCACAAUAAUAUUACUGCCCAGUUGCCACUGCAUAUUGAGUUUGGAAAAGCAGCAUAGCCAGAUUCUCCUGCUUUGUUUCCAGUAACUAGGGCUGAAGUAUCAUGUGGAAAGUUGUUAGAGAUCACUAAACUUUUCCAUAAUCCAUAAUGUUCCGCUAUUUCAGAUGACGAACCUAUAAGUGGUACUUUAUCAGAAUAUUGCCAAAGAUACAGAAAAACCAGGAUUGUAAAAACCCGAAAUUGUUUAUAUAUGGAAUCAACUAUAUGAGUUAAAGUCACCAUUUGGUCAACGUGAAUAGUGAGAUUCCCGUUAUGAGUUUCCACUCUAGAGCUACUAACGCAAAUGGCAAUUUUUAAAUAUCGGACAUGUGGCCACCAGUGGCUAUAGGGACCUGCCCGAGGACGAAUAUCAAUAUCUGAGUUGGAAAACCGUUCGUUCAUUUCCUCAUUGGUUAAAGUGCAUCGAAAAAGACUCUGCCCAGCCUCCCCUUCUUCUGGCACGAGCUGGGAUAAAACAUGUUCAAAUUGGGUAGAACUGUGCAGAGGCUCGAUUUCAUAGGUGAAGUCAUCCAAAUGCAGAGUCCCUCGGAGACCCCCUUGGCAAGUGUUCAAGACAGCCAUGGACGCGGGAAUCCCUUCCAAAUACCCAUGGUAGUAACAGUCAUUCGGGACAUAAGGAUACUCCUCUUGGGGAGCUCCAUGCUUAUUGUCGACUAAGACAGGGAGGUGUCUGGGCAAAAGGAACUUCUUGACUCGCAUAUGGACCACGUAUCUCUUGCCACCGAAGCGCAGCGAGUAGGAGAGCCUCCCGGGCACUUCAGCAAAGGUGCCGCUGGAACCUCGGAGGGCUUUUCGGCUGCUUAGCUGAUGGGGAAUCACCACUUCGAAAGAGGAAAACCGCCAGCCCGGGCGGUGCUGGAGGCAGCUAGCCAGGUACAGCAGCGUUAACUCGAGUGCCAGGAGAAACCCGGCCCUUGCAAAAGAGACCCCCAUAAGAAGCCAGGAGCAAGAAGCAAGGAAUGACUUGAGGAGUCUUGAAGACAAAGCCAGAGAUGGUUUAAGAGGAGCCUUCUGGG